AUGGCUGAAGCUGCCAUCUACCGCAGCUUAGGGAACGUCCAGUAUGGGGAGGACAUAACCGUCAAGGCCAUUGAUGACUUUGCAGCUCCGUUCAAGGAUCAGCUAUCUGAUGAUGUUGUUGCUACUAUUGGAUUCCUCAUGCCACAUUGUUUGCCUGCAAGAAAAAUUUUGGAAAAUGUUGACAUGUUCACCGCCUUGCCCCUGGGAGGCAAUCGGCUCGUAGUUAUGCUGAAAAGCCGGCAAAUGGCACCAGAGGGGGGAAUCCUCAUGCUGUGGGACGACCAGAAGGUCGACAUCUCUUCCAUUCACGCCUCAACCUACUGCCUCUUAGCCAUGGUCCGCAUCAUUGGCUUGGACACAAGCUACAAAAUCACCUCAGCAUAUGGUCACAUUGCUUGCUUCCUCGAGGAUGGUUUUUUUGUUGACCUAGUGGCCUUGAAGCCCCCUCCAGGGGUACGCUGGCUCGCGCUUGAAUACUUCAACCAGAUUUACUGGGCCCAUGAUAGGAACAAGAAAAAUGUUAAGGUUAGCCGCAUCAACCGCUUUAGGUCUGCUCUUCUCUCCUGUGAGCUAAAAGAGAUACACCUUCAAAAUCGAUGCUUCACUUGGAGCAACGAACGACAAAACCCAACACUAUGCAAGAUGGAUUUAGUCUUUUGCAAUGCCGAAUGGGAUGUCCAUUUUGACAAUCACAUCCUGCACGCUCACUCCUCUUUGCUCUCUGAUCACCGCCCCCUACUGCUCGCUGACGCGGUUGGGCCGCGUAGGCCGAGGUCCUUCAAAUUCAAAUAUUUCUGGGCCUCCCUCCCUGGAUUCAAUGAGGUGGUUUUGAAUGCCUCGGAAAGUGACCUUCGAGCUAGGCUCAAAAGAAGGGUUAUCAGUCUGGCGGUACUAGAGAGUGCACACAAAAAGCAAUGUGCGAGGAUUGCCAAUCUAAAGGAAGGGGGCGCGAACACUAAUUUUUUUCACCGCCGGGUCAACGCGAGGCACCGGGAAAGCCACAUCCACCGUAUUAUGCACAACCAGGGUUGGGUCAUGGACCAUGAGCGCAAAGAGGAAAUCAUCCAUGCUCACUUCUCCAAUGUGUCGAGCAGAGAGGGCACUAGGGCAAAUGACUUUAACUGGGAUGGGUUGGACCUCGGCUCCCAUGACUUGGCCUCCCUUGGUGAGCCCAUAUCUGGUGACGAGCGGGAACUUUCCCAAAUCAUCAUGAAGGAGGUCGUCGGAAAAACAGGGAUGUUCUACGGAGAAGGACAAAUGUCGCGGGAAGACGUCCGAACAUGGAUAGCCUCUCAGCGUCUCGACAUGAAGCCUUUCACUAAGCUCGAGGACUAUCUCCCUGACAUGGAUGGAUGGCACGACAUGGUGGAGUGA
rnacentral:rRNA from 1 species